rnacentral:piRNA from 1 species
UACUAUUUGAACACUUUAGUAGAGUGGUA